UAACUGACCUUUAUUAGAAAACGGGCGAUUUUCUUCAUGAAAUCCGUGCCGGGUUUAGGCCUCAUGGCGGUGCGCGCGUUUUUCGGACGAUAUAAUUUACAAAAUUAACAACAAUUUACUUUGCACAUUGUCGGAUAACUCUGGUUCUUAUCUUUUUAUUUUGAAAUGCGUAAACGUUCUAAAAAUAUACUGAUAGCUUGAAAAAGCACAACAAAACACCAUGGCCGUGCGAGGUGAACAGACAUCGCUCUACUUGAGCCGAUUCUUCUGGUUUAUGCAAGUGGAGGGAAGCAGUGGCGUAGAUGAAUCGAUUUUUCUUACGACUAAUUAUAGUUCUCAAACAAACGUCGGGGAGUGUGUUUGGGGCUUCUGGUUGCGUGCGGAUCACGCGACCGGUCAUCCUGACAAAUAAAUACGACUCGGCACUUCAGAGACCAUUCGCAACUCGUCAAAACGAAGUCUAUGGUCUUACCGUUGUCGGUCGUUACCACUCGUUACCGCCUGAAUUGACUUAAUACUGACCUGAUCUGAGGAAUAGGAACGGCGGCUGUGCUUCCGUCUGGAGGCGGAUCUCUCAUGACGGUGGCGGUGGCGUUUCUUGGACGUGGGGGAUCGGCGGUGGCUGCGCUUGUAACGACGCUCUGCACUGGAGCCCCGCUCGUACUGACGCGACCUAUGCGCCCUCUGGCUGCUGCAAUACCACAAGACCAAACUCAACAUUGAAAGAAUCCAAAAAAGUCGGGUUUGCAAUUCGUGCAAUUUUUUGGGUGAUGAUUACAACGUGACGUCAUCAAAUUUCAGGUGGGGAAUAAAACCAAAACACAAAUUCAUCAAUCGUUUAUUUGAUAAACACACUACAUUACAAAAUUUCAAUCCCUACUCUAAGUUGUAUUUCUUUUUAACGUCAUCCUCCAGACACCAGCAGUAUUUAUUUAACAAAGGACCUUCAUCAGCACACUUCUUCCACUGGGCGUAUUGUUUCAAACAUUUACCAAGAUAUGCCUUCGAGACUUCCACCACGUGACCAUUAUUCCUCAUAUAGUUCAUGAACUCCUCGACCACGGUCGUCCUUUUGUUCACGUUCCCGUGGAUCAACUUCAAAAAUGCCGGUAGAAGUUCCUGUCGCAAUUCCUUAGUGUUAUAUUUCCUAUUUGGAGUAAUCGCUAUGAACUCCUUCCGUUUAUUAAUAAUAAUAUGUCCAUUAGUAAUCAUCGCUAGAGGUCGAAGGUGUCUGUCUAUAGCAUCAUCAACAUUCGAGCGAUCUUUAUUGUACCAAAUACACCCAAUAGACCUCGGUUUCAUUCUAUUAGUCUUAGUUUGCAUAUCUUGAUCAAACUCGUCCUUCAACAACUUCAAUUUCUGCUUGUGAGACUCUGGGGACAAUUUCGCCGACUCUUCGUCAUCCACUUCGUCGUCGCUAAGAUGACCAUGUGGCACGAAAAAGUCAUUAUCAACCUCGUAAUCAUCAUUCUCUGCUUCGUUCUCUUUUUCUUCAUCGUCCGAACCAUUCAAAGACUCUCCUUGCUCCUCCUCCUCCCAAUCGUCGUCUGAAUCAACCUCAUAGUCAAAGAAACACUUAUCUUCUCCAAAAGGUCGUCUUGGAUUAACAACGGCGCUCUUCUUCCGCCAUGUACCGUAAUACGGAGGUCGUUUAUUCUCGUGGAACUUCAAAAA